rnacentral:rRNA from 1 species
AUCUGGUCCGGACGCAGUGAGGAUUGACAGACAGUUUCAGGAGUGGUUCUUGGUAAACAAUUGAGAGAGUUGAAGUUCUUUCAUGAUCUUGUGAGAGGUGGUGCAUGGCCGUUCUUAGUUCGUGUAGUGAUAUGUCUGCCUAAUCGCGUCACGAUAACCUAUUGGUCGACAACCCAAUUAUCACAACUGCAGCAUAACUCCCCUUGGGUGGGCGAGGCUCUGUGUAGGAUAGACCUCUGAACAGUACGCAACGAACGCGAUCGUAAUCCCUUGUUGAGUGGCCAUCCUGUAAGCUGCUGGAUUAGGAACCCAGUGGUAUUAUCUCAGCCACAGAUUUUCUGGUUGUAAUGGGCCAUUUUUGAAACUCGG